UGGUUUAGAAGUAGAGAAUGUGCUGCUACGCACCCUUUGGGUCAAAAGAAAUGUGGAAUUGACACACCACCGUAACCA
rnacentral:ncRNA from 1 species